ensembl:lncRNA
UGCCCUUGUUAAAUGUAAUUUAUUUCAAAAGCUGUCCAAUAAAAAUGAAUGGAUUUUCUUCACUGAACUCAAAUUUGACUGAAGUUGGUGGUUGUUUGAGAUAUACUCUGGGACAUGUUAUGUUAACUAUCUAUGUUAGGAGCACUUGAAAGCAGUUAGAUGACAAACAAACAAACAAACAAACAAAAUUAAAUCUGAACAAAAAUGAAAACAAAAGUGAAAACCUUGACAUAAUCAGCUCAAAACAAAUAUAUUUCUUUCCUGAGAAUUUUAUCUGGAAUGAAUACAAGUAAUAAAUUAAAAAACCUUUUUCCCCCCAGAAAAUACAAGGAAAAAUAUAAGAGAAAAUCUCAAUGCUGUACACAGAAGAAUUACGUACACCUGUCAGUCACAUCAGCAUGUGGCAUUGCAUCUGUUUACGUCUGAAGUUGUAUAUGUUUAUUUUUAUAUUAACGUCUUUGUCUGUGUUUAUGAUAUGCAUGUUUGUGUUUUUGCCUGAUGAGUGUGUUAUAUGCAUGUUUGUGUUUAUGUUUUUGCCUGAUGUGUGUGUUUAUGAUAUGCAUGUUUGUGUUUAUUUGUCAGAUGCAUGUUUAUGAUAUGCAUGUUUGUGUUUGUUUGACAGAUGCAUGUUUAUGAUACGCAUGUUUGUGUUUGUUUGUCAGAUGCAUGUUUAUGAUAUGCAUGUUUGUGUUUAUGUCAGAUGUACAUGUUUAUGAAUAAUGAUGUGUAUGCUUGUGCCUGAUGUGUAUGUUUAUGAUGUGUAUAUUUGUGUUUAUGUCUGAUGUAAAUGUUUAUGAACAAUGAUGUGUAUGUUUGUGUUUAUGUCUGAUGUGUAUAUUUAUGAACAGUGAUGUGUAUGUUUGUAUUUAUGUUUUUGUCUGAUGAUGUGAAUGUUCAUGUGUGUAUGUGUUUUUGUUUAUGUCUGAUGACAUAUGUUUGUGUCCUUUGCUGUCAUACUCAGCAGGCAUCUCUGCCAUAAAACCUCUCUGUAUUAUCAGUCCACAGUAAAUACAAAUAAAAGAAACUACCAUGGAUUUCAACCAAAUAUACAUAUCAGUACCAGAUUGAAAACGUAUCAAAUAUCAGAGAGGAUUACUCCAUUCGCCGGUUGAGACUUAAAAAAAAGGGUGGUGGUUCAAUGUGACGUUGAAUUCUGCUACACUGUAUUGUUUUAUAUUGUUCUGUAGACUCUGAAGUGACUCUCCACUUGCUAAAAUGAUCUGGGGGUUAUUCCAAGAAUGUGGUUGAGUUACAAACCAGGCUAAAUUAACUCAGAGCAAGUGG